ACUUGAUGGUGUGGGCAUUUACACAAAAGGUCCCUAAAACGCUCCCAUGUCUCAAAAAAUUGCUCACCAUCUAUAUAUGAGAAACUGGAAAUAGUCUUCCUAAGCU